AUCCAAUUUGUUCAAGUUACAUUCUGACAUUACAGAAUUCUGAGAUUGGUCGAUAAUUUCGAUGAAUUACAAAGUAUUGAAUAAUAUUAAUUUAAUUCAAUAUAACCAUUAAUUAAAGUUAACACAUUCAAGCUGGCAUCACGCAGAGUUCUUUGGUUGGGGAUCCGAUACUAUUCUCCGUUGUUACACCGAGCUACACCGAAUAGCUACGGUGGAGGCAGACGCAGUAUAUCCAGUAUGUCGUCCCAGUUCUCUCCCCGAGCCGGGAACUCGCCCCGCGCGUCCCCGGGGCCCAUGGAGCCCGCGGGCCCCGGCGGCCUGCCCGCCGCGUCCGGCGUCAGCAAGCGAUACGACAACAUUGUCAAGUCGCCCGAGGAUAAACGACAUUACAGAGGUCUGGUGCUAUCAAACCGGCUUCGAGUUCUGUUGGUCAGUGAUAUAACUACUGACAAAUCGGCGGCAGCUCUAGACGUCAACGUUGGUUACCUCAGUGAUCCCGAAGAAUUACCGGGAUUAGCGCAUUUCUGUGAACACAUGCUGUUUUUGGGGACCCAGAAAUAUCCUGAGGAGAAUGAGUACAACAAGUUUCUGUCUGAACACGGGGGCUCUUCAAAUGCGUCGACGUCUUCGGAUCACACUACAUACUACUUCGAUGUUUUGCCAGAACAUUUGCAUAAGGCUUUAGAUAUCUUCGCCCAAUUCUUCAUAUCGCCCCUGUUCACGGAAUCAGCGACCGGCAGAGAACUGAGUGCAGUCAAUUCGGAACAUGAGAAGAACACCUCCUCAGACACGUGGAGGCUGGACCAGCUCAACAAGAGCACAGCCUCCCCCUCACACCCCUUCCACAAGUUUGGUACAGGUAACAGAGAGACUCUAGAAACGAUACCGAAGUCAAAAGGGAUUGAUGUCAGGAAAGAACUGCUGAAAUUCCACUCCAAGUGGUAUUCCGCCAAUAUUAUGACUCUCGUCGUUGUGGGAAAAGAACCCCUAGACGACCUUGAAGAGAUGGUGGUGAAACUCUUCACGGAAGUCGAAGACAAGUCAGUCACCGCCCCCUCGUGGCCGGAACACCCGUUUCCACCAGCGCUGCGGCGCAAGAGAGCCUACUGUCUUCCGGUGAAGGAUCUGCGGUCACUGUCCAUCGACUUUCCUAUACCGGAUACUAGGAAGCACUAUAAGAGUGGGCCUGGACAUUAUCUCUCUCACAUGCUGGGACACGAAGGCCCAGGGAGUUUGCUAUCAGCAUUGAAAGCUAGAGGAUGGUGUAAUAGUUUAGUGGGUGGUACGCGUAUCGGCGCUCGUGGGUUCGGUUUCUUUGGCGUGCAAGUGGAUCUGACGGAAGAGGGAGUCGCCCAUAUCGAUGAUAUCAUUAAACUGGUGUUUCAGUACAUGGAGAUGCUGAAAGUAGCUGGUCCUCAGCGCUGGGUGUGGGAAGAGCAGCGAGACCUGAUGGCGCUGGAGUUCAGGUAUAAGGACAAGUUGGAGCCCAGGAAUCUGGUUACAGGACACGUGCAUUUGUUGCAGGAAUUCCCAAUGGAAGAUGUCCUAUGCGCAUACUAUUUGAUGACGGAAUGGAAACCCGAGUUAAUACAGGAACUGCUAUCUUUGCUUACACCUGAAAAUGUACGCGUUGGCAUUGUCGCUAAGUGUUUCGCGGAAAAGUGUACGAUGACCGAGCCUUGGUACGGAACUAAAUAUCUACAGGAAGACAUCGAGGAUUCAAAAAUACAGGAAUGGAAAUCAGUAAAACCGACCCCCGAGUUGCAUCUACCUCCUCCGAACGAGUUUAUACCGACGAAGCUUACGUUAGAGAGUGGCGAGGACAGUACCGCUCAUUCUGUGGCACCUACGGUUAUACUUGAUUCCCCAUUAAUGAGGUUAUGGUUCAAAAAGGACAGCGAGUUCCAUCUACCCAAAGCUGUUAUGACGUUCGAUUUAGUCAGCCCCUUAGCCUACAUGGACCCUCUAAGCUGCAACCUGACCUCCGUCUGGGUGCUGCUCCUCCGAGACAGCUUACAACAGUUCGCGUACGCCGCCGAACUGGCUGGCCUUCGGUGGAGCAUCGGUAACGCCAAGUAUGGCAUUAGCGUAACUAUAGACGGUUACGAUGACAAACAGAGCGUUCUACUCGACAAGAUUAUGGAUCAAAUGAUCGGUUUCACGGCCGAUCCGAAGAGAUUUCACAUCAUGAAGGAGAAUCAUAUACGAGCCAUCAAGAACUUUGAGGCUGAACAGCCUUAUCAGCAUGCAGUAUACCAACAGGCUCUGUGCUUAGCUGAUGUCGUGUGGACCAGAUGUCAACUCUUGGAAGCGGCUGAUCGCAUGACCCCAGAAAUGGUGAACGAUUUCGCGGCCCGCAUGAUACGCAAAGUGCAUAUAGAAGGGUUCAUGUACGGAAAUCUAUCACGCGAGAGAGCACUGCAUAUCGCUGAAUCUGUUGAGAAAAAAUUACCAAAAGAUGCGACGCCUCUGUGUGCCCAACAGCUGUUGUUACACAGAGAUAUUGAAAUAGAAAAAGGAUCCUGGCACGUAAGAGAAACUACGAACAGUGUACACCGUUCGUCCUGUGCCUCUCUAUACUACGCGUGCGGCGUCCGAGAGUGUCGCAGCAACGUGAUACUAGAACUGCUAGCGCAUACCCUCGCCGAACCCUGCUUCAGCAUGCUGCGGACCAAGGAACAACUCGGCUACAUAGUCUUCAGUGGUCUCCGAAGAUCCAAUGGAGUGCAAGGGUUUAGAGUGAUAGUCCAAAGCCACAGACAUCCUGAAUAUUUGGAGGAAAGGAUAGAAAGCUUCCUACAAGGGUCAUUGGAUUAUCUAAAAAACAUGUCGGAUGUGGAAUUCAUGAAGCACAGAGCUGCUUUGUCGGCGCAGAAACUCGAGAAACCCAAACGUAUGUCUUCGAGAGCUGCGCAGAUGUGGAACGAAAUUACAGCGCAGGUGUACAACUUUGACAGGCCGAGGGUAGAAGUCGAAGAGCUGAAUACCAUCACUAAGGAGGAACUUAUUGAGUUUUAUAAGAAACACAUAGCCAUGGACUCUCCGGAGCGACAGAAACUGUCGGUGUAUAUCAUAUCGACGGCCGAAGGAGGGGCGGGACAUAGUCCUGAGCCGAAAGAGGAAAAGGAGGAAAAGGAGAAGGAGGAGGGAGGGGAUGAAGACGAGUGUGACCGAUGCUAUCCUAAGCCAACAAAAAUAGUCGAUCUAGUGGACUUCAAAUGCAGAAGACCGUUGUACCCGCACCCAUCGCCUUACAUAAACAUACCUAGAAAAGGAUCGCAGUGUCUCGUUCGUGGUGGACAUUUGGACCGGAAUCGCCCAUUGUUGGGAAUCAAACCCAACAUAUCUUCGGCAAAGGGCGCUAGCGGCCGCCUACUCGCUUCUGAGUCAUCGUGGCGAGCGGCGCAGCGGCGAGCGGUGCAUCGAGGGGGGCGCCGGGCGAGAGGGGCAUAGACCAGUCUUGCGCUCACGGACACCACCGACGACGGUCGACAUUCGCUCAUAAUAUAUCAAUUGUUUGUCCGCGAGAUCUUUGAUUAUUGUAAUUAGAACGGCAAUAAACCGCGCCUAUCAACUAUAUACAGUCCACUUAUUUUAACAUCCCGUAGUGGUGCGAACAUGGUCCUUUGUGGAAUUCGCCGGCCUGGUUACGAAGUUUGAAGAAAUCGGGAUCAUCCUUUUACGUCGGUCUCGAAGCUCUUUUUCACCUGCGGUCUUCAGCAGCGACAGUUCCUGCAGGAGUCAUCAAGAUCCUGGCGAAGAUUUUUCGCAUUGCAGCCGCAUGCAUACGUUUCGAGAAACGACAAUCUGGCUGACCGUUGGACGGACUUUGGACCCGUCGAGCGUGGCACGUCAUCGCACGUUGAGGGCAAGGAAGAACGAAAAGUGCAGAUCAUCGUUUAUCCUGUGUAUGGUUUAGACAUUCUGUGAGUUCGUUCCAAUUGUUUCCUAUUUUUUUUCACUACUUUAUGUUUAUAAACGCAAUAUUUUAGUGAGUGCUUUCUAUUUUAUUCAAGUUACUUUAUACAGUAGAUUUCUCAAUUUCAAAGCCAUAUAUUUCCAUAGUUAUUCACCGCUUCUACUUAUAAAGCUUAAUCAUCUUCGCAAACACAUCGUAAAUAACGCAAUUCCUUAUGUCUUAUCUAUAACAUUUUAUUAGGGUCAUUAGUCGUGCAACAGCUGGUCUAUUGUUAUCGGUGUCGAGUCAUUAGUGCAACGCAUAUUUUUUCCGUUUACCUUGCUUAAAAUAAAUAAUUUGCCAUUAGUUCUUAUCGAAUACUUUUUUAACUUUACUUUGCUAACGUUUAUUUUUCUAUCGCUAUGUCUGAUGAAAAGAUUACUAAAUUAGUUAGACGGCGUAGCUGUAUGAAAUCUAAGCUAACCGUAUUUAGUAAUUACCUACAUACUUUAGAAAGUUGCAAAGAACUUAGUAGUUUACAGCUGUUAGACUUAGAAACAAGGUUUAAUAAGUUUAGUAGCUUAUACGAUGAUUUCGACAAAUUACAGUGUGACAUCGAGAUGUUGUCGGAGGACCCCGACGAUGAGAGUGAGGAGCGUGAGCAGUUCGAGGAUCAGUACUACAAGCUGGUGGCGGCGGCGCGGAGACUACUCGGUGCUCGCCCUCACCAGUCUUCUCACCUUCAGGAUGGAUCCGUGGCGAGUUGCGAGGAUGGACAAUCAGGUGGAUUCAAGUCUAAUUGCGUUAGAUUGCCAAAAAUUAGGUUGCCCAUCUUUCACGGUCACUAUCAACACUGGCUUGAGUUUAGAGACACGUAUUUGUCAUUAAUACAUUUAAGGUCGGACAUAGAUAAUAUAAAUAAGCUGCAUUAUCUGCGAGCCUCACUUAAAGGUAGUGCACUAUUGGUCAUUGAUAAUUUGGAUUUUAAGGCAGAAAAUUACGAAGCCGCUUGGAAUUUAUUGUGUAGUAGAUACGACAACAAGAGGUUACUUGUAAAUAAUCAUGUUCAUGCUUUAUUUAAUGUGGAACACAUAAAACAUGAAUCGUGUUCAGCAAUACGUCAUCUGAUUGACGUAACUAAUAAAAAUUUACGUGCGUUGUCGACGUUGGAUCAACCAACUCAAUAUUGGGACACGCUUAUCAUUCAUAUGAUGGCGGAGAAGUUAGAUAGUGUUACACAUAGGGAAUGGGAAGAACAUCGAAACACCUUAAAUAAUCCUCCAUCUUUAGAUAUUUUUAUAACUUUUCUUAGUAACAGAGCAGAUUUAUUGGAAACAUUGCAAGAAAAUAAAGGUAAAAUUAAAACAACAACACACAAUAGAAAUUCUUUAGAUACAAUAAAAACUAACUACAAUCAACCUACAUCUACUAAUUCUAAAUACAAUCAAAAUACAUAUUUACAAUAUAAUACAAAUAAAAAACAUAACAGUUCAAAUAAAAAUCAGUUAACUUGUCCAUUGUGUAAUCAGAACCAUUUCUUAUUUAAUUGUGAAGUAUUUAGAGCAUUAUCAAUUGAAGAUCGUAGACAAAAGGCUAAAGAAGCCAAAGUCUGUCUCAAUUGUCUACGACCAGGACAUAUUGAGUCAAGAUGCAAUCUGGUUCCUUGCAGAUAUUGCAAGAAAAAGCAUAGCACGCUGCUUCAUAUGCAUGAGGCAGAAACAACUCUUGAGCCGUCUAUUCCAGUUAACAAGUUAGAUAGUUUCUCUAGCUCAACAGAUGUUCUGGAAAGUAGUACUCCUCAGAAUGUUUUACUAUCCACAGCGCUCGUGAGGGUGGUGGACAGCAAGGGCGAGGUGCACACAGCUCGGGUACUGCUCGAUAAUGGCAGCACAGCCAACUUCGUGUCAGAGUUCCUUUGCGAACUUUGAAGUUCCUUCAACCCGGGGAGCAUGUUGGGAAUCAAACCCAACAUAUCUUCGGCAAAGGGCGCUAGCGGCCGCCUACUCGCUUCUGAGUCAUCGUGGCGAGCGGCGCAGCGGCGAGCGGUGCAUCGAGGGGGGCGCCGGGCGAGAGGGGCAUAGACCAGUCUUGCGCUCACGGACACCACCGACGACGGUCGACAUUCGCUCAUAAUAUAUCAAUUGUUUGUCCGCGAGAUCUUUGAUUAUUGUAAUUAGAACGGCAAUAAACCGCGCCUAUCAACUA